AGGCUUUGCAAUCGAGUGGAAAAAUCAAGUGGAAGAAGAGCUUUCUCUUCAGCACAGGAUUUAAAGAAGUAAAAAUAAGGAUGCCAUUGAAGCUAUUUCAGAUGAAUUCUAACGUACCUACUAAAGACCCAGGUGUGCUUUCCUCAGCCCCAUAUUUUCAAAUGUUUCCUUGAGUCAUGAACCCAGUGGACUUGGAGUUAACCUAUGUCCCACAGAGCAGGCCUUGGGAGAAUACUGAGCUGCCAUACUGAUGGAUUAUUGGGGCUGCUUCCAAAGCUAUUUGGACAGAACCUCUCAAGCAUCUGGCUGAGCUGAGGGAUGAGUGGCUACACACAUGUGUGCUUACUGAAAGUUUGGGAAGCUAUAAUGAAAGAGCCCCUUCACCACACUGUUACAGGAGCAGAAACCAAAUGCAUUAUCAAUAAUGGCCAGAAAAUCAGACUCUGGGAGCAGCACACAAGAAUCUGUUCAACAAACCCUACAGGGGAUUCUAAUGCUCCGCAAGAUUAGAAAACCUCUAAUAUAAUAUUAUGCAAAUUGUUUUCCCUGAGAUUACAUUUUGGAUGUCCAUUUCAAUAGCUGAUCUAAAACUCUUAAAUAGGAAAAAGGCAACACAAACUGCUGGAGAUUGAAUGUGACAAAGCAAGUACGGGAACUAAAAGGUUUUGGAGAUUUAAUCUAGCAUCCUGUUUCUCAUGCAGAAGAAUGCCUCAUGCAUUGCAUGAGAAAUUUCCCAAUGUUGCACAUUCAUGGAAAGAAAUAUUAAAUAUAUUUUUUUAUUUUUCCCAUCUUUUUUCUUUAGAUUG